UACGUAGGGUCCGAGCGUUGUCCGGAAUUAUUGGGCGUAAAGGGCUCGUAGGCGGUUUGUCACGUCGGGAGUGAAAACUCAGGGCUCAACCCUGAGCGUGCUUCCGAUACGGGCAGACUAGAGGUAUGCAGGGGAGAACGGAAUUCCUGGUGUAGCGGUGGAAUGCACAGAUAUCAGGAGGAACACCGGUGGCGAAGGCGGUUCUCUGGGCAUGACCUGACGCUGAGGAGCGAAAGCAUGGGGAGCGAACAGG
rnacentral:rRNA from 1 species